rnacentral:tRNA from 1 species
GGGGAUGUAGCUCAGUGGUAGAGCGCUUGCCUAGCAAGCACAAGGCCCUGGGUUCGGUCCCCAGCUCUG